CAGUCGCCACGGGAAUACGUAGGUGGCAAGCGUUGUCCGGAAUUAUUGGGCGUAAAGGGCUCGCAGGCGGUUUCUUAAGUCUGAUGUGAAAGCCCCCGGCUCAACCGGGGAGGGUCAUUGGAAACUGGGAAACUUGAGUGCAGAAGAGGAGAGUGGAAUUCCACGUGUAGCGGUGAAAUGCGUAGAGAUGUGGAGGAACACCAGUGGCGAAGGCGACUCUCUGGUCUGUAACUGACGCUGAGGAGCGAAAGCGUGGGGAGCGAACAGGUUUAGAUACCCCAGUAGUCCCUGUCUCUUAUAC
rnacentral:rRNA from 1 species